UGAAGUAUAAAAAUGGCAUUGAACAAAGCUGAUUAAUUAUAAAAUAAAAAAUAAAAAACUAAAAAUGAUGCAUAGCAGCAAGAAAGGUGAUGUGCAGCAGGGAGAGCUAUACUCUCCGGAAAAUGGUGAGGGCAGAAAUGUCAAAAAUGUACAAGUCGAUCAUCAAGGCAAGUUGUACUCUCCCAAUCCCAACACCCAAAUGGAAAAAAGCCCCAUUAAUAAUGUGGUACAAGUGAAUGAUGGAGAAAGUGAUGAUUUUGAAGUGGAAAAGAAUGAGCAGCAGACAAAUGGCCACAAGUCUUCCAGCAAACUCUAAAUAAAAUCACAUAUGUAAUCAUAAAUUUUAUUUUAUUUUUCACCAAGAUAUAUAAUAAUUGUGAUUUAUUCGGGCACAUUAA